AGAUGUUGGGCGCCUGGAAAAGUAAAACAGUUUUCGGCGUGUUAACCCUUAUAAGCAGAUUCAACCUAACGAUAUUAUUUCAAACGGAAGAGAAUGUAUAGACCAGAGAAGAGAGAGACUUCCAGAUGGGCUUGAUGGGAACAACGAUCAGCCCAGGAGGGUCCAAGAAUAUAGACCUGCUCCUCUGAGAUCGCCUGCAUCACCUGAUAUCACCAGACCCAAGAGCCCAUCAGAAAACAAAACGGAUCACAAUAAAGGACAGGAGCCAGACA